UGGACACUCUGGGGAUGAUCCCUCUGCUUUCAUUAAGAGUUCCAAGAUGUUGGUCUGAUUGACUGGGGUGUGAAAUGUAACAGCCAAUGGUGUACUUAAGCUAAGACUGUCAGUCCCAAUAUUCAAGAGGUGAGAUAAGCAAUGGAUAUGUGUUCUAAAUUUACUAAAUUGACCACUUUUUAUAAAUGUUUCUUUUACUCUAUAGGAAAAACCCCUACAUAAACAAAUACAUGGGCGCAGACAUUUUGGACACCCAAAGUUGUGCGGAGGAGAAAAUGCUAGCUGGCGCGUGAUUGGUCAAUAAGAGAAAAGACUUGUUAUGUAUUUGACAAGUGAAAUAAAGUUGAUAAAAAUCUCA